GGGGAUAUUGCACAAUGGGGGGAACCCUGAUGCAGCGACGCCGCGUGGGUGAAGGAGCGUUUCGGCGCGUAAAGCCCUAUCGGCAGGGAAGAAGGAGGACGGUACCUGACUAAGAAGCCCCGGCUAACUACGUGCCAGCAGCCGCGGUAAUACGUAGGGGGCAAGCGUUAUCCGGAUUUACUGGGUGUAAAGGGAGCGUAGGUGGCAUGGCAAGCCAGAAGUGAAAACCCGGGGCUUAACCCCGCGGAUUGCUUUUGGAACUGUCAGGCUGGAGUGCAGGAGGGGCAGGCGGAAUUCCUGGUGUAGCGGUGAAAUGCGUAGAUAUCAGGAGGAACACCGGUGGCGAAGGCGGCCUGCUGGACUGUAACUGACACUGAGGCUCGAAAGCGUGGGGAGCAAACAGG
rnacentral:rRNA from 1 species